AUACCUUUCUCGGCCUUUUGGCUAAGAUCAAGUGUAGUAUCUGUUCUUAUCAGUUUAAUAUCUGAUACGUGGGCCAUCGGUCCACAUGAUAUUAAAUUUAAUCUUUUCAGGGGGAGAGUCCAUCACAGUAGCUUGCUACUGGGUCUCUCGCGCGUCGCCUUGGCGUUGCACUACUGCCUCGGCCUGGCGCACCCCAC
rnacentral:snRNA from 1 species